rnacentral:tRNA from 1 species
GGGGAUGUCGCCCAAUGGUAGAGACACUGAGAAGCCGGCGAUAAUACAACUCAGAAACGGUAUAGGUUCAAAUCCUAUCAUCCCCA